UUUCCGUAGGUGAACCUGCGGAAGGAUCAUUACUGAGUGAGGGCCCCUCGGGGUCCAACCUCCCACCCGUGUUUAACGAACCGUGUUGCUUCGGCGGGCCCGCCUCACGGCCGCCGGGGGGCAUCUGCCCCCGGGCCCGCGCCCGCCGAAGACACCUGCGAACGCUGUCUGAAGUAUGCAGUCUGAGACAAUUAUUAAAUUAAUUAAAACUUUCAACAACGGAUCUCUUGGUUCCG
rnacentral:misc_RNA from 1 species